AUUGAACGCUGGCGGCAUGCUUUACACAUGCAAGUCGGACGGCAGCACAGAGAAGCUUGCUUCUUGGGUGGCGAGUGGCGAACGGGUGAGUAAUAUAUCGGAACGUACCGAGUAAUGGGGGAUAACUAAUCGAAAGAUUAGCUAAUACCGCAUAUUCUCUGAGGAGGAAAGCAGGGGACCUUCGGGCCUUGCGUUAUUCGAGCGGCCGAUAUCUGAUUAGCUAGUUGGUGGGGUAAAGGCCUACCAAGGCGACGAUCUGUAGCGGGUCUGAGAGGAUGAUCCGCCACACUGGGACUGAGACACGGCCCAGACUCCUACGGGAGGCAGCAGUGGGGAAUUUUGGACAAUGGGCGCAAGCCUGAUCCAGCCAUGCCGCGUGUCUGAAGAAGGCCUUCGGGUUGUAAAGGACUUUUGUCAGGGAAGAAAAGGCUGUUGCUAAUAUCAAGAGCUGAUGACGGUACCUGAAGAAUAAGCACCGGCUAACUACGUG
rnacentral:rRNA from 1 species